UUAUGUAGCCAUAUUCCCCUGAAUGUGUCCUGUCUCAUCUGAUCUUGGAAGCUAAGCAGAGUUGGGCCUAGUUUGUACUUGAAUGGGAGACAUUCAAGAGUCUUAGAGGCUAGAAGCA
ensembl:rRNA nuclear encoded rRNA 5S 8